rnacentral:rRNA from 1 species
CCUACGGGUGGCAGCAGUGGGGAAUAUUGCACAAUGGGGGAAACCCUGAUGCAGCGACGCCGCGUGAGUGAAGAAGUAUUUCGGUAUGUAAAGCUCUAUCAGCCGGGAAGAAAUAGCGACCUUUGGGUCGCCAGACGGUAUCUGUCUAAGAAGCCCCGGCAAACUACGGGCCCGCAGCCGCGGUAAUACGGAGGAUGCGAGCGUUAUCCGGAGUUAUUGGGGUUAAAGGGUGCGCAGGCGGAAGAUCAAGUCAGCGGUAAAAUUGAGAGGCUCAACCGCUUCGAGCCGUUGAAACUGGGUUUCUUGAGUUAGGGAGAAGUAUGCGGAAUGCGUGGUGUAGCGGGGAAAUGCAUAGAGAUCACGCAGAACUCCGAUUGCGAAGGCAGCAUACCGGCGCUCAACUGACGCUCAUGCACGAAAGUGUGGGUAUCGAACAGGAUUAGAUACCCCAGUAGUC